UACGGGUGAGGCAAGCGUUGUUCGGAAUCAUUGGGCUUAAAGCGCGUGUAGGCGGCGGCGUAAGUACUUUGUGAAAUCCCUUCUCUCGAUGGAGGAAUUGCUUGGUAUACUGCGUUACUUGAGGCAGGUAGGGGUGCUUGGAACUCUAGGUGGAGCGGUGAAAUGCGUAGAUAUCUAGAGGAACGCCAGUGGCGAAAGCGGAGCACUGGGCCUGUCCUGACGCUGAGACGCGAAAGCGUGGGUAGCAAACGGG
rnacentral:rRNA from 1 species